CCCGACCUCUGGCGCGCACCAGACUUCCUUCCGCCGCCGCCCCUUGCUCCGGUGCGCCUCCCACCGCACCAAACCGGCAGGCCUCCUCCCCCACGGCCGGCGGGCCUCCUCCCCUAAUGGUCGGCGUGCCUCCCCCCUCCCCCCUGGCCAGCGCGCCUCCUCUCCCGCAGUUGGGUCCAGGCCUGCUCCCACGGCCAACGCUGCCAACUGCCCCGGCGCGCCGCCGUCGCCAUCUUCCCCAGGGUGAAGCUGCCGCCGUUCCUCGCCGCCAAGAUCCAACCUCGCCAGCCACCGACGCACCCGCGGAUUGACGGCCACCCUCUCGAGCAGGAUCACACGCGGAUCGGCGGCCACCGUCUUGAGCAGGAUCACACGCGGGCCACUCCCCAAGCCAUCCCCUGCCCGUCGACGGGUCGCCGUCCCUGGAUCUACGCCCCUCCUCCACCUCCUCCUCCCGGUGGGGCUCUAUAGCCGAAGCGCCCAAGCAGUUCACCGUCGUCACCUUGGGCCGUUCAAUGACACACCACCUGACCACCAGGACGGUCGACACUGCAGUGCCAAGAUCUGCACUUCCACCAUGCUCUGAUGUUGGCGCGAUCUGGGCUCUCUCGGCAACUGGGGUUGCUCUCUUUCCUCAACCAUAUGGCUAGCAAAAAGACUGUAACUCCAACCACCAAGGUCAUUCCCAAUUCCUAUGAAGUUCAGACUUCAAAAAGCAUGGAGUUCAACCUGACCGUGUUAGUUGAAUCACUCGUGGAUCAACAUCAAGAAGGAGCACCGCUGCUGCCCAACACAGCCACGGCCAGAGGACACAAAAACAGUGCAAUUUUUUAAUUAACACUAUUUCACCUCGAAUAGAGCUUGCUGCUCCUGUCAUGUAUUUGUGUGCUCAGCUUGUUGUAAUCCCCCAUAGAAAAACAUACGUGGACCUUCUUUCUUACUCUCCA